UAUUUAGUCUUUCUAUAACAAGGACGCUUCACAAUGUGCGGCAAAGAAACAUUGUUGAUACAAAUACGUCUCUCGAUGUACGACAAAGAAACAUCG
rnacentral:ncRNA from 1 species